rnacentral:lncRNA from 1 species
AUAUAUACAUACAUACAUGAUCCAAUUAUUAUCAUAUACAUAUCACAAAGGACUAGGAGGAGGAAGAGCUGUCGCCAUUCAUCAGAGGUGCAUGGCAGUGGUGUACAGCACCGAGCUGGGAAACUUGGGAAUGAGAAGAAAAGAUUUGUUAGAUAGAAUUAGAGAGGAAGAGGAAGAAGACAAACAUCUGCUAGGUAUUAUGCGACCCAGAGAGAGGAAGAGGAAGAAGACAAACAUCUGCUAGGUAUUAUGCGACCCAGAGAGAGGAAGAGGAAGAAGACAAACAUCUGCUAGGUAUUAUGUGACCCAGAGAGAGUGAAAGGUCAAUUCACCCUUUUUCUUUGUUUUAAAGACAAGGCUACCAGUUCGUGACAAUCUUCCAAGCUCUCCUCCUUGAUUUUGUAUCUAUUCGGGGCUUUAAUUAAUGAUAUAUAUAUAUAUAUAUAUAUCCCUUAAAUGAUUAAAGGCCUUUGCUGCUGUUAGUCUUCUAUUUUUCUUUUUUCCUUUCCAACAUCUCACUCCCCCUCGCUGUAAAUUAAGAAAAUCAUUUCCAGGGCAUGGAUGAUAAUUAUACUCAUCUUCAUGGAGGUACACCGCUAUUCACCCGAAUGGAGGUGGCUAUAGAGAGAUUUAUUCAGGUAUGGAAGCAGAUAUGAUGUCUUCUUAGUCAUUGAAUGAUGCGGAACAAUAAAUAAUAAAAUUAAAGCAAGAAC